UGGGGAAUUUUGGACAAUGGGGGCAACCCUGAUCCAGCCAUGCCGCGUGAGUGAAGAGGGCCUUCGGGUUGUAAAGCUCUUUCGGCCGGGAAGAAAUCGCACGGGUUAAUACCCUGUGUGGAUGACGGUACCGGCAUAAGAAGCACCGGCUAACUACGUG
rnacentral:rRNA from 1 species